UAUCGCUGAGAAGUCGAUCAAACUUGGUCAUUUAGAGGAAGUAAAAGUCGUAACAAGGUUUCCGUAGGUGAACCUGCGGAAGGAUCAUUAUCGAAAUUAUAGGUGAGGGUUGUAGCUGGCCUCUCGGGGCAUGUGCACGCCCGAGCCCUUAAUCCACACACACCUGUGAACCUAUUGUAAGGGCCCUUAAAAAAGGCCUUUACGUCUUAUCAUCAACCCAUCGUAUGUCUCAUAGAAUGUAAAUAUAUGUCCUCGCCUUAAAAAGCGUUGAUAAACUUAUACAACUUUCAACAACGGAUCUCUUGGCUCUCGCAUCGAUGAAGAACGCAGCGAAAUGCGAUAAGUAAUGUGAAUUGCAGAUUUUCAGUGAAUCAUCGAAUCUUUGAACGCACCUUGCGCUCCUUGGUAUUCCGAGGAGCAUGCCUGUUUGAGUGUCAUUAAAUUCUCAACUCCGAUCGAUUUGUUUCGACUUCGGAGCUUGGAUUUGGAGCGUGCUGGCGUCGGUCGGCUCCUCUUAAAUGCAUCAGCGGAAUCUAACGUUUCGGACGUCAGUGUGAUAAUCAUGUUGCGCUGUCUGUCUGAUCCGAAAGCCCGCUCACAAUGGUCUUCGGACAACUUCAUAUCAAAUUUGACCUCAAAUCAGGUAGGACUACCCGCUGAACUUAAGCAUAUCAAUAAGCGGAGGAAAAGAAACUAACAAGGAUUCCCCUAGUAACUGCGAGUGAAGCGGGAAAAGCUCAAAUUUAAAAUCUGGCGGUCUUGCGGCCGUCCGAGUUGUAAUCUGGAGAAGCGUUUAUCCGCGUCGGACCGUGUACAAGUCUUCUGGAAGGGAGCGUCGUA
rnacentral:rRNA from 1 species